rnacentral:rRNA from 1 species
AUUGAACGCUGGCGGCAGGCCUAACACAUGCAAGUCGAGCGGAUAAAGGGAGCUUGCUCUCUGAUUCAGCGGCGGACGGGUGAGUAAUGCCUCGGAAUCUGCCUGGUAGUGGGGGACAACGUUUCGAAAGGAACGCUAAUACCGCAUACGUCCUACGGGAGAAAGUGGGGGAUCUUCGGACCUCACGCUAUCAGAUGAGCCUAGGUACGAUUAGCUAGUUGGUGAGGUAAAGGCUCACCAAGGCGACGAUCGUUAACUGGUCUGAGAGGAUGAUCAGUCACACUGGAACUUAGACACGGUCCAGACUCCUACGGGAGGCAGCAGUGGGGAAUAUUGGACAAUGGGCGAAAGCCUGAUCCAGCCAUGCCGCGUGUGUGAAGAAGGUCUUCGGAUUGUAAAGCACUUUAAGUUGGGAGAAAGGGCAGUAAGUUAAUACCUUGCUGUUUUGACGUUACCGACAGAAUAAGCACCGGCUAACUUCGUGCCAGCCGCCGCAGUAAGAC